AACGAACGUUAGCGGCGCGCCUAACACAUGCAAGUCGAGCGAGAAAGGGAGCAAUCCCCGGUACAGCGGCGCACGGGUGAGUAACACGUAGGUAACCAACCUCCGAGUGGUGGAUAACCUUCCGAAAGGAGGGCUAAUACAGCAUGAGCCCACAGCUCCGAGAGGAGCAGAGGGAAAAGCCGGCCAAUCCAUGGAAGCUGGCGCUUGGAGACGGGCCUGCGGCCCAUCAGCUAGUUGGUGAGGUAAUGGCUCACCAAGGCGAAGACGGGUAGCUGGUCUGAGAGGAUGAUCAGCCACACUGGAACUGAGACACGGUCCAGACUCCUACGGGAGGCAGCAGUGGGGAAUCUUGCGCAAUGGGCGAAAGCCUGACGCAGCGACGCCGCGUGGGUGAUGAAGGCCUUCGGGUUGUAAAGCCCUGUGGAGGGGGAAGAAUAAGGCUUGGCUAAUAUCCAAGUUGAUGACGGUACCCCUUUAGCAAGCACCGGCUAACUCUGUG
rnacentral:rRNA from 1 species